UACGUAGGGUGCAAGCGUUAAUCGGAAUUACUGGGCGUAAAGCGUGCGCAGGCGGUUUUGUAAGUCUGAUGUGAAAUCCCCGGGCUCAACCUGGGAAUUGCAUUGGAGACUGCAAGGCUAGAAUCUGGCAGAGGGGGGUAGAAUUCCUCGUGUAGCAGUGAAAUGCGUAGAGAUGUGGAGGAACACCGAUGGCGAAGGCAGCCCCCUGGGUCAAGAUUGACGCUCAUGCACGAAAGCGUGGGGAGCAAACAGG
rnacentral:rRNA from 1 species